rnacentral:sRNA from 1 species
UUGCGACAGUUCUUCUUUAAAUUUUCCC